AGCAUACAAGCAAGCAGCUUACAGCCGCAGUGGCAAAAUUUUUUUUUUUUAUGUCAGAAACUGAGAACUCUUGCAGUCUUUAUCUCAUCCCUUCUUCUCCAGACAGAAGAUACCAAAAUGUUGCAAUCAAAGAUCUCUUCACCUUAUUGAUAAAGCCACUAAUAAGCCAAAAUAUCUGUCAACGUCAACUGCAGCAUGUCAGACCAGUUCUAUGGCUACAAGAUGCCCCGUCUGAUUGCCAAGGUUGAGCGCAAAGGAAAUGGAAUCAAGACAGUUAUAGUUAACAUGGUUGACGCUGCAAAGGUGCUUAAUCGGCCUCCAACAUAUCCCACCAAAUAUUUUGGUUGUGAUCUGGAAGCACAGACUCAGUUUGAUGUUAAGAAUGACCGUUACAUUGUCCAUUGAUCUCAUGAGGCGAAUAAGACAUGUUGGGUGGAUUCAUUAAAAAAUUUGUUCUCUGUCCUGAACGUGAGAAUCCUGAAACAGAUAUGCAUGUCAAUCCAAAGAAGGAAACAACAGAUAAUUCUUGUAAAGCCUGUGCCUAUCGAGGCAUGCUUGACACACAUCAUAAACUCUGCACAUUCAUUCUCAAAAGCCCGCCCAAGAAUAGUGACAGUGGUGCAGGAAAGAAAGAAAAGGAGAAGAAAAAUAGAAAGGGCAAAGACAAGGAAAAUGGCUCCAUAUCCAGCAGUGAGACGCCGCCACCACCAAAUGGAAUUAGUCCUCCUCCACAUACAGUGGAAGCAGAGGAGGAGGAUGCCUGGGGAGAAAAUACAACUGAGAAAGCUCAAAGGCAUCCAAUGGAUGAAAUCAGUGACCAUGCAAAGGUUCUGACUCUCGGUGAUGGUUUGGAGAGAACAGUUGAGGGGUGGGUCAAUAUCAUCUUUGAUUUUGCCAAGAAGAAGAAAGAAGAGGCUAUUAUUGAUUCAUCUGACAAAGAAAUUGUUACUGAAGCAGCAAGACUGGAUGUGAAAGCCAUGGGCCCUCUUGUUCUGACUGAAGUUCUUUUUAAUGAGAAGAUUAGAGAACAAAUUAAGAAAUAUAGGCGCCAUUUCCUACUAUUUUGUCUCAACAAAAAAGCUCAAAGGUGCCUUCUUCAUGGUUCGGAGUGUGCGGUAGCAACGCAUCAAGCUCAGCAUAUCUCCACGAUUCCAUGUAUCUUGAAAGAGUUGUACGAAGCAGACCUUUUAGAAGAGGCCAGCAUCAGCUGGUUGGAAAAGAUCUCUAAGAAAUACGUCUCCAAAGAACUUGCCAAAGAGACUCGUGUCAAAGCAGAACCAUUUAUGAAAUGGUUAAAGGAGGCAGAGGAAGAAUCCUCUGGUGGUGGAGAAGAAGAUGAAGAUGAGAACAUGGAGGUGGUGUAUUCGAACAGUGCAAGUGUGCCGAAAGUUGAAACCAUAACGUCCGACAGCAAGGAUGACAGCACUCAUAUGGAUGCCAUUUAAGGGGAUGGAUGCAACCUAGCUUAACCGUGUAAUGCUGCAAACUUUUUUCCGUUAUCAGCCAGAAGUGCAACAUGUAUGUGCAAAAGCUAAAAUAGCUUAAUGUCAUGCUACACUUUACACUAGAAAUUAUUACUCUGAGUGGUCUCUAAGCCCAAUGAGACAUACAUCAGUGAGCAGAUGUAGUUUGCUUAUUUAUAGCAUGUUUCUUUUUGAAGAACUAGUGGUGGACACAUUUGGAUCACAUUUAUACAGUUACCAAUAUCAAAUAAAGAUUUGAUACUGGUCAUUCUA